UACGGAGGGUGCGAGCGUUGUCCGGAAUCACUGGGCGUAAAGGGCGCGUAGGCGGCCUGAUAAGUAGGGGGUGAAAUCCUGCGGCUUAACCGCAGGGCUGCCUUCUAAACUGUCAGGCUAGAGCACAGUAGAGGCAGGUGGAAUUCCCGGUGUAGCGGUGGAAUGCGUAGAGAUCGGGAGGAAUACCUAUGGCGAAAGCAGGCUUCUGGGCCGUCACUGACGCUGAUCUGCGAAAGCUAGGGGAGCAAACAGG
rnacentral:rRNA from 1 species